CCUGAUAUCAAGUAAUUGUUUUCUUUGUCCGGCAGGGUUUGAAGAAAAUUCACCAGAAAAGUUCCGGGACUGCCGAAGGAGCUAGAAUUUAGACACCCGAAAGUAAGUACUAUAGUAGCAUGUUCCGCGCAUCUCCUAGUGAUUCAAGCGCUAGUUUCAUCAAUACCAUUUAGCAUUCUUGCUUAUCAGUUUAAAUGACCUCUAUUUCUUGUAAAGUGGUUGUGGCAGGAAAAAGGGAAUGAUUUCUGUGGAUACUACGUCUGCGAGUCCAUCCGCCACACGACCUGUGAGCGGGGCGGGUACUCUGACGAACAAUAUGAAGUACGUAAAUAACAACAUUCACAAUUUUAUUUUAUUACCAUCAUUUGUAUUGAGUUUCAUUCAUUCAUAUAUAUGUAUUGACCCCCUUCUUCAAAUUAGAUGUUUCGGAAGCGGGAUGAACUCCUAGCACCAGCUCGCAUGCAAGCAAUUCAAGAGGAAUUGGCGGCAUUCUUUCUUGACCAAGUGAUCGCUGAAGACGGAGAAUACUAUGUGGACCAUGAGUCCGUAUGAUUAUAUUUGUAAGAGAUAAUUAUUGUAUAUAUGUAGCCGGUAGUGUCGGAUAGAUAUACGAGAACUUGUUGUUCGACCAAUCUCUCGGAGAAGGAGAGGUGGUCGAUAUCACUUCUCUCUGUAUGCAUAUAUGUUCACGACGAUCUUCUGUUUCCUUCGUUUGCUUACUAGCUAACUAGCGUGUCUAGUCCUCUCUAUACGUAUGUAUAGUACGUAGCGUCGACCAAGCACGGACGUAAGAGAGGACACUUCUCUCUAUUAAUUAUAGCUAGCUAACACAAUAUAUGAAACACCUAAAUUAACUCCCCCAAAACCCCCAACCCCCCUUUAAAAAAAACAAAAAAAAAACCCCAGCCACAGAAAUGCUGACGCGUGGAUGCCUAUUGGUCCCGAUUGGUGCCACCAACCGGGACCAAAGGGUCUCCUGCCUGGGCUCUGUGCACUGCCCACGUGGAGGCCCAUCAGUCCCAGUUCUGGAUUGAACCGGGACUAAAGGGUCGGGGCAUUAGUACCGACACAUUAGUCCCGGUUCAGGAACCGGGACUAAAGGCCCUUACGAACCGGGACUAUAGGCCCUUUUUCUACCAGUGCUGUGAGAACAAAACCAUGCAAAAGCACAUUAAUAGAGAGUUCAUCGGCAGUAGUCAAGGUUAUCAAGUUUCGCAAUGCAAAUUUGAUCCUUGCAAAUAGGGUUGACUAUUGUAGGUGGUGUGAGUAAAGAGCUUGGAAAUCAGUGGCGAGCGGUUUAGGGAGAACCCAUCUGUCUUGCCAGAAAAUGUUGCCUUAAUUAUCAUUACCGACAUUGCAUUUUGGAUAUUUGGGAGAGGCGGAUAAUUGUUUGUGGACUGUUUUAGCUAAAUAUUAGGCAUCGUUGGCAGUGGAGACUGGGAAAGGCUAUUGAUUAAAAAAUCCAAUCAUUCUAUCUAAAGUUCAUGGAAUCUAUGAACUUGUCAGCAAACUUCAUCAUCAAGUAAACAUUUUUGGUUUCAAUGUUUUAACCCCGUGACCACCAGUGCUGCAUGGUGUGCACACGUUGUGCCACACAACCAGGCAUUGAGGCCGCGUCGUCCAUUGACUAGAAAAAACAUCUAUGGCAUUUGUCGAUUGUUUCUAUAUUUUUGCGUGGUAGAAUAAAACAACCCAUGAAGUAAGAUGGCAGGUUGUCCGAGAGAAAUACGAAUUUUCACCCUUACGGAGCAAGUGUGCAUACCAUCCUCUUAAGUAACGAUUAAAGUUAUCAAAUAGAGGCUGGAAAGCAAAGGCUAGGAGUUUGUGUGGUGAGAGCGGAAGGCCGAGGUAAGUUCGUCCUGAUGGGUAGAGCGAUUAAAGUUAUUUUUUUGGAAGUAAAUUCACAUGCUAGUAGCGGCAGCGAAAUCUCCGGCUAAUACGUAGAGUAGAAGGGGCCCAUUUUCAGUUUAUCCAGUUGUUGGCACUGUUAAAAAAAUCUUCCGAUUCAGCGAUUAAUUUUCCAAUUUAUCGUUAAUAGGGGUGACUAAUAAGAUUAUGCCUUAUCUUCAUCAUCUAUCCUUUGAACCGAUUUAUCCCUCUAACAGGUGAUUUAUCGGGUUCAUAGCACUAUGUUUGUAAAAACUAUGUUUAUUUAUGUUUUAUGGACCUUGUUACGCAAUAUGUAAUGUUAUCCUAUUUUGUUCCGAUCCGGCAGCGCGGGCGUCCACCACCGGCUCCUGUUCUUCCCUCACCGCCGCCGGAGGGCGUCGCCGGGCAAAGCCCGACCGAGUCGGCGGCGGUGGGGUCAUAUGAAGGUGCAGAGGGAGGCCUGUUCCGGCUGGUUCCGGCCACUAUUUCAAAUAGCCCGCUAUAGCUUCGCUAUAGCACGCUAUAGCGUUUACAAAAGGUCUUGCGCUAAGAUACUUUGGUCCAAACAAAUGAACAAAAUAUUUUAAAUAGCGCGCUAUAGCUCCGCUAUAGCACGCUAUAGCAUUUGAAAGAUGUCCGGCGCUAAGAUGCUUAGCGCGCUAUUUAAAACUAUGAUUCCGGCUGGCUUGGAGCUCGGCCGCGAGUCAUGGUGCCAGGUGCAGCGUGGGAAGGAGAAGCAUGGCGGCUCCAUUACGUUUUCUCGCGGUGCUAGUGACGAUCCCGGCUGGCGCGGUGCCAGCAUGCGAGGUCCUGCCGCUCUGGCCAAGGCGCAUGCUGGGGGCAACGUGGAGCCGUGAAUGCAGGGGCCAGAUAGGCCGCUGAUGCUUGGUGCUGCAGGCUCUAGGCCCUAGCCAUGGCGGGCCGUCAUGAGGUUGCCGAGCGAGCGGGUGACCAUCAUGUGCGGGCUGGACUCCGGCUAGCUCCGAUUGGGUGGUCGGCCGACGACGCUACGGUUCACGACUUGGUGCUGGUGAUCCAGAUUUGAUUGGUCGGAUGGUGGUGAUUGCAAACUAUUCUGCAGUGAUUUCCUACGGCUCCACAACGGCGAUGGUCAUCUGAAGGUCUUCGGGAGGGUUUUCUCCGUUGAUCUCGUGGUUGACUUCAGCGGUGGGAUGCAAAUUACGGACGAAGACUUAACGCAGAGGGAUGGUUGUGCAGUGGCGGCGGUCGCAUCACAUGUAACUGCUGGGAUCGCAGAAAAGUGGUGGUGACAACACAUGAGACUUUGAUGGUGGUGCUACUCGAGCAGCCGGUCUCGAGCUCCGGAGCGAAAGCCUAGGUCAGACCCUAGUGGUUAUACCUUGCAAUGGCGAUAUUUUCUUACAUCGUUACCUCGUUGAAGGCAUUGUUCGGAUAUGUUCAGACCGAUUCUUCAGGGUGAAAUCCUAGAUCCUGGACUUAUGGUUGGAUCCUAUGACGGUGGCGUUUGGAUGUCGUUCCCUUCUUGAAGGCGUUGCUGUUGAAGAACCUAGUCGUCCAUGUGGUGUCAUGAGAUGGUUGGUGCGGAUAAAGUCAUUACUGUAGUUUGCCGAUCGUAGAUCUGAUCACUUUAUUGUUUUUAUUUUCUCGCAUACACAUAGCUUUGGUCUUAUAUACUUUGCUAGUUGUCGGUAUGUUUUAGUGAGUGUGUGUGAGUUGGUAUUGGCUGUGUGCAUCCUAGUUAUGCAGAGACCGAGUGUGUGCUCAUGAUGUUAUGUAUCUUCUUGAUACUUCAUUUUGAGUUAAUAAAAUCCACCCUUUGUCGAAAAAUCUCCGUGUGAAAGCUUUUCUCCUAGAGUCCUAGCCAACGCAUCUUCCUAUUUUGCUUUGUCUCCCUCCAGUUAUGUAUUGAUCUAGACGUUCUCCGAUUCCUCCCGUCCCUGAUCUUCCAUGGCGCUGCACGGCUGGGAGUGUCACAUCUAGUCUCAAAAUCGAGAAGCUGCAGUUUCAGCCAUCCCUGUCAUCACUGGUCCUGUCCCCAGAUGCUUUCCACGGGGCUGAUCCACCAGGAGCGUCACCUCCAGCCUCCGGUUUGAGGAGCUGCAAAUUUGGGAAAUUGAAAACCGUCUCUCGAUAGGGUUCCAAAGACCCAACGAGUACAUGAUCCAGCAAUCCUCUUCCUCAUCUUGGUAGCGCUGCCUCUCCUCUCCAUGUUGUCCUAAGGUACAAUGUUUACUCCAUACUGUAAUAGUGUAAUUUAUCUAGAAACAGGUACGAUCUGAUCCAUUAGCUCUGGGCUCCCUAAUUCCAUCGUCUCCAACCUAGAGUCUCCUCGGCUUUCAUCUUCUGACUGACCACACAACUAUCAUCCAAUUUUUUCCCUGUAGAUGAGAUGAAACUCCUCCUGCUCCUACAAAACUAUCACUCAUCGUUGACAAAUACAGACACAAUAAGAGUAAGGAUAGUUGGGAGGAAGACGAAGGAGCUGAUGUCCUCUCGCUACAGUGGAUAACAGGGAGGCGUCAAAUCUGGGCCAUGAAAGCUUGAUCAGUGUGGCAAGCACGCCUGCCCAACAAGCGGCAGGACGAGAUUAAGUGAUUAACCCAUGUUCUCAUGCAGGUGGUAUAUUCCUCAGACUCCAGAGUACGCAUCUUAUCUAUUCUCAGUUUUAAUCAUUAUGCAAUUACUCUUCUCCUCUUUAUCUCCUGUUGUUAGGCGAUGCACUUUAGUUGAAAAAUUGUUAACUUUCUGAAGCGUCAGCUGUAAUGGAGGGGUCGCGCUCAGAAUAAUUACCAGGUUGAUCAAUCAACUGGCAAGAUAAUCAUGAUAUGCAUAUUCUCUUAUAAGUUACUCUUGGUAAGUGAAUUUCAGGCCAGCUACUUCUUGAUUGGCGGCCCGACCCCCGCGUCGCCUAGCUCUGGCGACACGGGGGUAGAAACCCUAGCGCCGCCACAGUCCCCGCCCCCUCCCCCACCUGUCUCGCCGCCGCCAGAGGGCGCUCGCCGGCGAAGCCCGGGCCGGCCCCGAGGAAGGCGGCGGCGGGGCGUUAUCCCUGGCCAGUCUGGCGCGUCGAGAGGGGAGAUCCGCCGGCGCCCUCUGGAGCCUGGGAUCUAUGCGCCUGGCUGCGUCUCACGCCUGGUGCGCGUGCCCUUGGCUGCGCGUCGAUGGGGGUGGGCGCGGCCACGGCUGCGGGGAUGCCCCGGGAUGGUGGCGGCAGAGACCACUCCUUUUCGGUGGUGUCCGGAUCUAAGGCGGCGGCCUCGCUGGUGCGGACGGCGCUCCCCCGACGGCGGGAAGUGUUCGUCGGUGAGGUAGGCCGGUUCCCCUCGGCUGCGCGGGCAGCGAGGUCCCGGUGGGCGCAGGUCUUGGCGCAUGGAGGCCCCGGGCUCCCCGCGUCAGAUCGGAGGCGAUCCUGGUCCGCUCGUGAUGCAUGACCUUCAGUCGGCCUGGAUCUCCGACGCACUCGCGCCUGCGGAUGUCGUGGCUGGCUCGAAGGUGGCGGCAGGGUGCUUGGCCGGGGGAAACCCUUGGCCGCCGGUGGCGGCCACGGCGUCGAUGGCGUCCCGGACGCCAUUCCCUCCUUGGUGGCGGCGUCGAGGCUAAACAUCCCCUGCCUCCCCUCUUCCCCUGCACCCGGGUGAAAACCCUAGCCCCGGUGGCUAAGCGGUGGCGGCGCCACAGUGCCGUCACCUUCUUGAAGGCGCCGACUUGGGCAUGGGGAUGCUGGGUGUGUAUUGCGAGCUUGUCUGGUUCCUGGUGGCGGCCCUUCCGGCCGUGUCUCCGAUGGGGACCUCGCCCUUCCUCACCCUGUACAUGCCGUGGUGGAGCGGUACUUCAUCUCACUCAUUCAUGGCGGUGAGGAUCGGAGGCAUGGCGCUGUGGAGGCUCGCCGCCUGAUACGCGGAGAUGGACUCGCGCAGGCGGAGGUUGCUGUCUGGCGUCAUGAUGACGUCGAUGGCAGAGUGGCCACACAAGGUAGAAGCCUCAAGAUGAUCUGAAGAUGGACCUGCGGAAGAUGGUGGCGACGACACACGAGUGCGUCUGACCGGAUUGUGUCCCAGACCCGGUAUGUGGCUCGGCUGGGGCGUCCGAAUAUGUUUCGGUUUCCGGCUUUUUGAUGUUAGGCUUAGGUGAGUGGUUUGGGUAGUGGCCCAGCUAGCACCCCUUCAUCAUUUUGGAUAGGAGUAGUGGCAUGUGUUGCCAAGAUGGUGGAUUCAGGCUUAUUGUUGUAAUACUUUGUAAGGUCCUCGAGAAUAACCAAUAAAGUGGCCGUAUGUAUCUCCCAGCUGCAGAGGCCGGAGGUCAUCCUCCUUUUCUAAAAAAAAACCUCCAUACAGCAGCUGCGUCCAUUCUGCUAUGCAAAACUAAUCUUACCUCACGUGUUCUUAAGAUAAAGACUUUUAGCUUUGAUAAAUGAGGAGACAGCCUGCUGAAUCAGCAACUUUCAGGUUAUCAGAUAUAGCCGUCUAAAAUACCCUUCAUUAUUGCUGAUGGCAGUUAUAUUCUUCAUAAGUUCUUAUCUAAAUUCUCAAUAAAAAAGGAUACAACACUCUAUUGUUUGUUUUUAAUCCUUUCUAGAUGUGGUUCUAUGAUACAUAACUCAGUAUCUUGGAGGUGCACCUUCAAUUUUUUACUCAAUGAUUUGGCUAGAUGUCCUCACAGCUUAAGGAUAUGGAAAUCAUUAUUAGCUAAGUUUCAUCUUUAUCUCUUUCCUGGAAAACUAGGAUACUGCUCGGAUGAAAUGUAAUAGAAAUAUAUUCGAGUUUCAAGUAUACAUUGCAUGAGAAACAUAGUACUACGCCUCUCUCAACCAAUCAAUGUACCUUUGAACAAUAGAUUCAAAUUCUAUUUCAUACAGAUGCCUUAAGGCAUUUUUUUAUAACAACUCUACCACAUCUACACACUUUAAUUCCCCUAUUCUCAGUCUGAGGUACUGACAUUUUUAUUUUCUGGCAUCCCCUCAAAUAUGAAUCAAACAAUUUUGCCAACUCCUAAGCGAAACAACACUGCUUUUUUGUAACAAGAACUAAUACAUGCAGAUGCAGCUGCCAUUUAGGGGUGUAAACUGGUGGUGCAGGUCACACAGGCAUACUAAGAAACAUGUGUUCAUAAGGGUUCUUAGUGAUGACAAAUAUUUUCAUGUUUAUGAUUUCUUCUCGCAGAGAUUUCGUAGCUCUUCUUGCGAUGUCCAACUGUUCAGUGUAUUGUUUGAUCUAGCAAACUGUUCACAACAUGCUCUAUACUAUAAGAAAUCAUCUGAGCUAAAGAGCUUUACAUAAGAAUAGGUUAAUCCUAGGGUUCAAGAACUAAUAAUUGAAUCCACAAGUUUACUAUCGGUACUCAGGACAUAAAUGAAAAAACUGUGCUUUCCCAGUUUCUCCACCACAUAUACUGUAAAUUUGUAAUAUAAUUGUACUACAAGAAACCAUCUGAUCCGACUUAAGAGUUCAAGCACAAAUAAUUGAACCUACAAGUUUACUCUUAGUAGUCAGGACAUAAAUGAAAAAAACAGUUUGCUUCUUCUAAAGUUCUUGAUUUUUAGAAGGAAAAUGGAAAGGAAUGUGUACUAUUUAUUCCUUGAACCGAAUAUAUAACUUUAGCUUUGUUUGUGAUACUGAUGUACAAUUAUCAACAAAACUACGCCUGUUAUUUCAGAUUGCUAAUGACCUUGAGGAAUCAAGGACAAUAAUUCCUGCUGCUAGAUUAGUAUUUCUGCAGCUGAAGAUUCGUGAACCGACAGUAGACGAACCGGUACUUCUUCAGGUAAAAACAACUUUAUUUUUUGACUCCAGUUUGGUAUAUCAUUUAAGUUAAAAUGAUACCUCUGUUUCACUAUUAAUAUAUAGCACCGAUAGCAUGCCAACAAAUCUUCAGUUUGACCAUCCACUGUUCAGAAUAGUACUGUCAUCUUGCAUAUAUACAUUUAUUCAGCUCAGAUUUUGCUCUACGCGAACAUUAAAAAUUAUGUUGCCUGAAACGAAUAUAUAAGUAUGAACAAGUUUUGGGAUGAUGGAUCCCUUCUUCAGCAAUUACCCGGUGUUGAUGAGAUCGACCGUCGGAGGAAGCCUGCCGAGGUUCACAACUAAAGAGGUCAGUCUGCUGAAGGGGUUGCUAGACUACAUGGGGCUCAAUAGAAGGAUGACCAUGCCACUGUGAUUUAGUAAUGGCAGAAUGAUACCAUGGCAGAUACGUUGGUUCUCCUGUGUGUCUCUGGCAUAUGCAUUUUCAGCAUUGAGAAAUUAGAAGCCAAUUGGAGAUAAGGUAACUGUCGUUUUAGCAACAUGCAGACUAAUAUUUUUGUGCUGUAAUGUUGCAUUUGAGUUUCGGAAAAUCAACUGCCGGCAUCAUGACUGAACAAUGCUCUCACUCCCUGCCGCGAAUUGUUCGUGGAUGUCCAUGGAGAUUUGUUCUCAUAAAGUGUUCUAUAAUUAGCGGAUGUGUGUAAUUAUUAUGUAUGUCGUUGAUCUCAUGUACAUAGAAGUGUAUUUGCAUAUGUCGUUCGAGUUACUAUUCACGUGUUACAGUAGUAACAUACGUCCACGUGUUCAACUAGAUCUGAAGAACAUAUCCAGUUGAAACCAAGUUAUGGUAAAAACUCUGGAAAUCAUUUUGUAACAGCUUUCGAAAAAGGAUCUUUUAAGAAUACAACAUGUUAGCAAAUUGAUAUGCUAUUAACAUUUGGAUUUUCGAUCAAAUUUAAAAUUCAGAGGUAGUUACAAAAUUAAAAAUGAUGUUUACAAGAAUAUAGGACUGAGGAUGAAAAUUAUAUUUGACUAAGCCUAAAUUACUUAUCAAACGACAGUCUAGAGUCAGACACACGAUACAACACAAACGUAACAGAUGAACAUGUUUUGUUUUUGCUCCACAAGUUAUGACAAAAACUAUAUUGGCAUGUCUUUUAAGUAGUAUUGCAAAAGGGAGUCCUGUUUUUUAAAUGCUAUACUUAACAUAUAAAAUAAAUAGUGCAAACACAAUAUACCAUUUAACCAAAGAAUUGUUUUAUUAUUUAUGUGUUUUAAAAAUGACUAGCCCGUGCUUUCCGCACGGGUUGAUGACUAGUGGGAUUAAUUGACAUAGACUUAUUUUGGUUUUGUUCUAUAAACAGGUGAAGGAAAUAAACCACAGUGUUGUGAGUAAAGAUUAUCUUCUUCGUUCUGAAAUGGCACAGGACAUUUAGUGGACUGGGAGCUAAAUACCAAAAAGUUCUAAUACCCAGGAGAAGAGAGAAACGGAAUGUGCAUUGCUACGGAGUAGUAACAUGUAUGUGUAUGGUGGUACAUUAGCCAGUUACGGAGCCAGCUACCACUACUCGGCGGCUACCGUGUACUCCACAAAUUCAGGGGAACUAUCUACUCUCCGAUGGUCCACAUGGUCUGGAACGGAUGGGCCCCUCUGCUUGUCAAAAUCCUUGCUUUCUUGGCUCUCCAAGAUAGGGUUUGGACUGCCGACCAGUUGGCAAAACGAGGUUGGCCAAACUUUGGCCUUUGCUGUCAAUGCAAACGUGAGCAAGACUUCGGGAUGUAUCUUUUCUUCAAGUGCCUCUUCACCAUAUGCCUUUGGAAUCUAACCAAUUGUUAGGAAAAUAUGCAACUUAGUAUUAUCAGGAGGCAAAAGCCAUCAUAUAUGCAUGUACAUGGGAUGCCAAAGGCUAGAAUGCAAAAGGCCAAAGGCCACAAUAAAUAUAACUCUAACACCCCCCCCCCCUCAAACUCAUGGUGGAUCCACAACACUGAGUUUGGAGAGAUAAAAUCCAUGUUGCGCUUUAGUAUGGGCCUUCGUGAAAAAGUCCGCCAACUGUAACUCGGAAGGCACAUACUGAAGAGGAAUAACAUGGUCCUGUACACCAGCGCGCACAAAGAAAGCAUCAACACCAAUAUGCUUGGUAUGCUCAUGCUUCACGGGAUCCCGCGCAAUACUGAUAGCACCUGCAAUAUCUGACAAGAGUGUAGUACGUGUAGUAACAGUAACACCAAAAUCCUCAAGUAACCAACGUAGCCAAGUCACCUCUACCGUGAGAAGAGCCAUAGCUCACAACUCAGCCUCUGCACUCGAACGAGAAACAACAGUCUGUUUCUUCGUCUUCCAGGCAAUGAGAGAACCAUCAAGAAAAACACAGUCAGAAGAAAGUGAACGACGAUCCGAAGGAUCACUAGCCCAAGUAGCAUCUGAAUAGGCCUGGAGCUGUAGCGAGCUGGAACGAGGAAAGAAGAGACGUUGAGAGAUCGUGCCACAAAAAUAUCGUAGAACACGAAGAAGGUGACUAUAGUGAACCAAAGUGGGAGAAGAAACAAACUGACUCAGGAUAUAGACAGGAUAAGAGAUAUCCGGACGAGUGACAUCGAGAUAGACAAGACUCCCAACAAGAUGACGAUAACGGGUCGGAUCAGACAAGGGCUCACCAUCAGAAGCACAAAGGUGAACAUUAAGCUCCAUAGGAGUCUCAACAGUGCGCUCAUCACUAAGAGCCGCAUGAGCAAGAAGAUCCUGGAUAUUUUUUUUUUGAGAAAUAAAAAAGCCAUCAGAGUUGGAGGAAAUCUCAAUCCCAAGAAAGUAACGAAGAGGACCAAGAUCAGACAUAGAAAACUGCUCACUGAGACGGGCCUUGGCAAAGGCAAUGUACUCAAGAUCAUCGCCGGUGAUGAUCAUGUCAUCAACAUAUAGAAGAAGAAGAGUGCGACCACGAGCGGAAAGGUGGACAAACAGUGCUGGAUCAUGAGCACUGGGUGAAAAAACAGCUGCGGUGACCACCGAGGCAAAAUGCUCAAACCAAGCGCGGGGGGCUUGUUAAGGCCGUAGAGAGAGCGAUGAAGACGACAAACCAUGCCAUCAGGAACUGAGUACCCAGGUGGUGGCUGCAUAUAAACUUCCUCACGCAACUCACCGUUAAGAAAGGCAUUCUUAACAUCAAGCUGAGACACAGACCGGUGGCGAACAGAUCCACGGCGAGAAGUGUCCGAACAGUGGUCAUAUGGGCCACAGGAGCAAAAGUCUCAUCGUAAUCACGACCAUGCUCCUGCUGAAACCACGAGCUAUAAGACGAGCUUUAUAACGCUCAAGAGAACCAUCAGAGCGAUUCUUAAUCUUAUAGACCCACUUACAAGUGAUGGGACGGACACAGGGAGGAAGAGAAACUAGAUCCCACGUGCCGGUGCGCUCAAGAGCAGCAAUCUGCUCUGCCAUGGCAAACUGCCAUUCAGGAUGAACAAUCGCAUCUCGAUAAGAAGUCGGCUCAACAAUGGUCGAAAGACCAUAGCGAGAAGGAGAAUAUCGAUCAGGGGGCGGACAAGGCCGAGAACGAAGACCAUAAGUCGACUGAGAGGAGGAAGAAGACACGCCAGAAGUAGAGGGCACAUCGGUAGACUCAUCCACAACACGUCGACGACGAGUAUAAUGAAAAGGAAAGGAGGGAAGAGGUGGAAUCACUGGAAGUGGAGACGGGGAAUGUAUCGGUGAUGAAGGUGGAGAAGAGGAAGGUAUCGGUGAUGAAGGUGGAGAGUCAUGUGAUGAGGGAGGAGAAGAAACCAUAGGAGAGGAUGGCGUCAGAUAUGCAACAGCGGGACGAGGAGUAGGAAUACUGGGCACAAGGGAGGUGUAUCCGGAAACGUAAGAAAAGAGAUGUCCUCCGUGGAAAAGGCCGAGGAGGAUGGACGCGGGUAGAAGGGACGAGACUCAUCAAAGGUGACAUCCCGGGAAAUACGCAUCCGGCGACCGACAGGAUCCCAACACCGAUAACCCUUAUGCUCAUCACUGUAUCCGAGAAAGACACACUCAACAGACUGAGCGGUCAACUUCGUGCGUUCACGAGGGGCAAGCAAAACAUAGCAAACACAACCAAACAAACGAAGCGCCGAAUAAUCAGGAGAACGACCAGAAAGAUGCUCAAGAGGAAUACCACCCUGCAGAGCAGCAAAUGGUUGAAUGUUGAUGAGAUAGGUGAAAGUGGUAACAGCCUCAGCCCAGAAGUGAGGCGGAAGAGAGGCGGCUAUCAUCAUCGCACGCGCCAUCUCAAGAAGAUGACGAUGCUUGCGCUCGGCCACACCAUUCUGAGCAUGAGCACCAGGACAAGAGAACUGAGCAAGAGUACCCUGCUCAGCAAGGAAUCCUUGCAGCGCAUGUGAGAUAUACUCAUCAGCUAAAUCUGCGCGAAAAACACGAAUAGGAGUGGAAAACUGGGUAUGAACCAUGGCAGAAUUUUUUUUUGUAUAUAGAUAAGACCUCACUACGACAAGACAUGAAAUAGAUCCAAGUGUAUCGAGAAAAAAUGUCUAUAAAGAUAAUAUAGUAGCGAUGACCCCCUUUCGAAGCGAAGGGAGUCGGACCUUGUGACGCCCCCGAUUCAAUCGUACACUAAUCAUACACGCAAAGGUGUACGAUCAAGAUCAGGGACUCACGGGAAGAUAUCACAACACAACUCUACAAAUAAAAUAAGUCAUACAAGCAUCAUAAUACAAGCCAGGGGCCUCGAGGGCUCGAAUACAAGUGCUCGAUCAUAGACGAGUCAGCGGAAGCAACAAUAUCUGAGUACAGACAUAAGUUAAACAAGUUUGCCUUAAGAAGGCUAGCACCAACUGGGAUACAGAUCGAAAGAGGCGCAGGCCUCCUGCCUGGGAUCCUCCUAAACUACUCCAGGUCGUCGUCAGCGGGCUGCACGUAGUAGUAGGCACCUCCGGUGUAGUAGGGGUCGUCAUCGACGGUGACGUCUGGCUCCUGGACUCCAGCAUCUGUUUGCGACAACCAGAAAGAAAGGAAAGGGGAAAAAGGGGGGAGAAAGCAACCGUGAGUACUCAUCCAAAGUACUCGCAAGCAAGGAACUACACUACAUAUGCAUGGGUAUAUGUGUAAGGAGGCCAUAUCAGUGGACUGAACUGCAGAAUGCCAGAAUAAGAGGGGGAUAACUAAUCCUGUCGAAGACUACGCUUCUCGCAGCCACCGUCUUGCAUCAAGUAGAAGAGAGUAGAUUGAAGUCCUCCAAGUAGCAUCUCCAAGUAGCAUCUCCAAAUAGCAUCUCAUAGCAUAAUCCUACCCGGCGAUCCCCUCCUCAUAUCCCUGAGGUAGAGCGACCACCGGUUGUAUCUGGCACUUGGAAGGGUGUGUUUUAUUAAGUAUCCGGUUCUAGUUGUCAUAAGGUCAAGGUACAACUCCAAGUCGUCCUGUUACCGAAGAUCACGGCUAUUCGAAUAGAUUAACUUCCCUGCAGGGGUGCACCACAUAACCCAACACGCUCGAUCCCAUUUGGCCGGACACACUUUCCUGGGUCAUGCCCGGCCGCGGAAGAUCAACACGUCGCAGCCCCACCUAGGCAAAACAGAGAGGCCAGCACGCCGGUCUAAACCUAAGCGCACAGGGGUCUGGGCCCAUCGCCCAUAGCACACCUGCACGUUGCGUACGCGGCCGAAAGCAGACCUAGCCUAGUGGCGUUCCAGUCCAAUUCGGCGCGCGCCGCUCCGUCGCUGACGUCUGAAGUGCUUCGGCUGAUACCACGAUGUCGGGAUACCCAUAACUACUCCCGCGUAGAUGGUUAGUGCGUAUAGGCUCGUAGCUGACUCUGAUCAAAUACCAAGAUCUCGUUAAGCGUGUUAAGUAUCCGCGAACGCCGAACAGGGCCAGGCCCACCUGUCUCCUAGGUGGUCUCAACCUGCCCUAUCGCUCCGCCACAAAGUAACAGUCGAGGGCCGUCGGGAACCCAGGCCCACCUCUACCGGGAUGGAGCCACCUGUCCUUUCAGCCCCCUCGUCAGAAUCACUUGCGGGUACUCAAUGAGCUGACCCGACUUUAGUCACCAUCUGUAUAGUAUGUAUGUAUGUAUAGUAUAUACCCAUGAUCACCUCCCAAGUGAUCACGGCCCGAUAGUAUAGCAAGGCAGACUGACAAGAAUGUAGGGUCAAUGAUGAUAAACUAGCAUCCUAUACUAAGCAUUUAGGAUUGCAGGUAAGGUAUCAACAGAUGUAGCGACAAUGUCAGGCUAUGCAUCAGAAUAGGAUUAACGAAAGCAGUAACAUGCUACACUACUCUAAUGCAAGCAGUAUAGAGGAGAAUAGGCGAUAUCUGGUGAUCAAGGGGGGGGGCUUGCCUGGUUGCUCUGGCAAGAGAGAGGGGUCGUCAACUCCGUAGUCGAACUGGGCAGCAGCAGCGUCGGUCUCGUAGUCUACCGGAGAGAAGAGGGGGAAGAAACAAUGAAUACCAAGUAAACAGAUGCAUAUCGAUGCAUGACAUGUCAAGAAGCGAUGCUAGGCGUGCCCUAAUGUGGUAUGAGGUGGUACUGGUUAAGGGGGGAAUCAUCCGGGAAAGUAUUCCCGGUGUUUCGUGUUUUCGGGCAGAGGAGCCGGAGGGGGAAAGUUGCGGGUUCGAUAGGUUAGGGGGUGUGGCGGACGAACGGACUCCGUAUCCGAAUUCGUCUCGUCGUUCUGAGCAACUUUCAUGUUCAAAAUAUUUUAAUCUGAGUUACGGAUUAAAAGAUAUGAUUUUUUUAAGGAUUUUAUUAAUUUCUGGAAUUUAAUCAAUUAAUUAUUUAAUUCGAAAAAUGGAAUUAUGACGUCAGCAUGAUGCCAUGCUGACGUCAGCAGUCAACAGGGUUGACUAGGUCAACCCGGACAUGUGGGUCCCGUUUGUCAUACUCUGUUAACUAAUUAUCUUAGUUAAGUUUAAUUAACAAUAGUUAAUUAGGUUAAUUAUUCAUUAGGUUUAAUUAAUCAGGAUUAGUUAAAUUAAUUAAUUAUUUAAUUAAUUUUAUUCAUUAUUAUUUUUAUUAAUUAUAUUUAUCUAAAUUCCUUUUCCCCUUUUCUUUUUUUUAAUAAAACGUUAUGGGGGCGGGCCCCUGUGGUCAGUGGCCCAUGGGGCCUUGCGGGCGUUGGGUGCGGGGUGCGGUCGCCACCCGCUAACGGGCGAACCCGGGCGGCCGCAGCAGGCGCGCGCGCNNNNNNNNNNNNNNNNNNNNNNNNNNNNNNNNNNNNNNNNNNNNNNNNNNNNNNNNNNNNNNNNNNNNNNNNNNNNNNNNNNNNNNNNNNNNNNNNNNNNNNNNNNNNNNNNNNNNNNNNNNNNNNNNNNNNNNNNNNNNNNNNNNNNNNNNNNNNNNNNNNNNNNNNNNNNNNNNNNNNNNNNNNNNNNNNNNNNNNNNNNNNNNNNNNNNNNNNNNNNNNNNNNNNNNNNNNNNNNNNNNNNNNNNNNNNNNNNNNNNNNNNNNNNNNNNNNNNNNNNNNNNNNNNNNNNNNNNNNNNNNNNNNNNNNNNNNNNNNNNNNNNNNNNNNNNNNNNNNNNNNNNNNNNNNNNNNNNNNNNNNNNNNNNNNNNNNNNNNNNNNNNNNNNNNNNNNNNNNNNNNNNNNNNNNNNNNNNNNNNNNNNNNNNNNNNNNNNNNNNNNNNNNNNNNNNNNNNNNNNNNNNNNNNNNNNNNNNNNNNNNNNNNNNNNNNNNNNNNNNNNNNNNNNNNNNNNNNNNNNNNNNNNNNNNNNNNNNNNNNNNNNNNNNNNNNNNNNNNNNNNNNNNNNNNNNNNNNNNNNNNNNNNNNNNNNNNNNNNNNNNNNNNNNNNNNNNNNNNNNNNNNNNNNNNNNNNNNNNNNNNNNNNNNNNNNNNNNNNNNNNNNNNNNNNNNNNNNNNNNNNNNNNNNNNNNNNNNNNNNNNNNNNNNNNNNNNNNNNNNNNNNNNNNNNNNNNNNNNNNNNNNNNNNNNNNNNNNNNNNNNNNNNNNNNNNNNNNNNNNNNNNNNNNNNNNNNNNNNNNNNNNNNNNNNNNNNNNNNNNNNNNNNNNNNNNNNNNNNNNNNNNNNNNNNNNNNNNNNNNNNNNNNNNNNNNNNNNNNNNNNNNNNNNNNNNNNNNNNNNNNNACGGCGCCGGACCGGGAAGGCGCGGACGAGGCCACGCAGAGGCGGCGAGGUGAGGUGCGCGGCUGGAGCAGGGCCCCGACCGUGGCUACGGCGAGCACACGAGCAGCCGGCGCGGAUGAGGUCGGAUGUGCAGCAGUGGAAGGCAGCGGAGUGAGGGCUCGGGGGACCAUAGCGAGGCGUUGGGUCGAACACGGUCGGCACGCGGCGGACGACAAGAACGAGGGGAGAGGAGGCCAUGGCUGUGAGCGCGUGCGCGUGCGGAGAACGGCGACCGCGACGACGGGGAGAGAGGGAGAGGCCAGGGACCUCACCACGGGUCCGUAGGGCAAGGGCAGUGGGCUCGGGGAGGUCCAGCGAGGCAGAUCGACGAUGGGGGCGAGGUGGCGGCGACAACGAUCCGGGGAACGGAACAGCCCGAUCCGCGCGAGGCAGGGGGGGUCCCGAGCUCCGAUGCGUCUACGUAGUCGAAGAAGAUGGCGAAGGCGGUGCUCCCGGCGCAGUCUGAGGCGGCGGGGAGGAUGUUGGGCGCGAGGACGGCGGGGUCGGGGCGCCGUUGCCCCGAUCCAGAAAGGUGGGGCGGAGCGGCGAACGAGGGGAGUGGGAUGCGAGUGAGGGGAUUUGCCUCNNNNNNNNNNNNNNNNNNNNNNNNNNNNNNNNNNNNNNNNNNNNNNNNNNNNNNNNNNNNNNNNNNNNNNNNNNNNNNNNNNNNNNNNNNNNNNNNNNNNNNNNNNNNNNNNNNNNNNNNNNNNNNNNNNNNNNNNNNNNNNNNNNNNNNNNNNNNNNNNNNNNNNNNNNNNNNNNNNNNNNNNNNNNNNNNNNNNNNNNNNNNNNNNNNNNNNNNNNNNNNNNNNNNNNNNNNNNNNNNNNNNNNNNNNNNNNNNNNNNNAGGUAUAGGCCAGGGAGGGGGCCGGUUGGGCCAAGUAGGCCGAUUGGAUGGGAUGGGCCGAGGCCCAUGGGGAGGGGGGUUCAUUUGUUUUGUUUUGUUUUCACUUUUGUUUUUUCUUAUUUUUUUUUACCUUUUCUGUUUUAGUUUUGUUUUCAAUAAUUUUACUUUUGGUAAAAUAUACACUUAGUAUCUAAAUUAGUAUUUCAGCUCAGUCCAUAGCCACAAAAGGUCUAGUCCUCAGAUAAAUUAGUUUGAAAUUUUAUUAAUUACAAAAGUCAUUUAAAUAAUUGUUUUUGCUACUGUUUUAUUCAUCUUGUAGUAUUUAAACAUUUUAUAUAUAGGUGUGGUUUCUCUAGCAUAAUCAUCUAUGUUUUAUUUGCUACAAUUUGAACAUUUUAGAUUUGAUAAUUAAAAACUUUUAUUGUUUGACUUCAAUUCAAAUUUGAAAUUGGAUCGGUUCUGAACUAACAUAAGAUUAGCAACGGUAAUCGUGGUGACGUGGCAUCAUUACCAGAGGGUUACUGUAGCUUGAUUACCCGGACGUCACAGACCUCAAGCAUCAGAGUGAACGAGAUCAAAAGGGCGCUCGGACACUAACUCACUGUGAGGAUAGGGUAGUUGAAUCUGCUUACCAAGCCUACAACCUAGACAAUCCAAUGAAGCAUUAACGGAGACAAACCCUAGAACACCACGAUGAAACAAAGAUGAGAGAUGAGAACCACAUAAAUGGCCAAGACGAUGAUGCCACUGCUGAAAAGAGCUGGUAGAUGCGGCAACAGGGGCUGUGAGACUAGCUACAGGGAGAGGAGUGCCAUCAGCUGUAAGAACACGAACAUGAGACUCGACAGGUUGAACGGAGGUCAAAGUUGAAGAAUCAUAAGUCAUAUGAAAAGAUGCUCCCGUAUCAAACGUGAAUGGGUAGAAGGUGGUUUCUCAGUGCCAGAAGAGUCAGUCACGGAACCUGUAGAACCUGUCGAUGAAGAGUCCCAAGCAGCAAGCAGGCAUCGCAGCUGUGCAAUCUCAUGCGCAGUCAAGGACACGACGGAAGAGGUCGAGGUAGAAACACCCGCCGACGAUGAGCAGUCGCCACCACCCAUGGAAGCCGCACGUAGAGUCGAUCGAGAGUACCGAUUCGACGUAGAGCGGUCACAGCCGCGCACCGAAGCCGCAUGAAGAGUCGACAUAGAGCGGUCAUCGCCGCACGCAGAAGCCGCGUGAGGAGUCACCAUAGAGCAGUAACCUCUGCGCGCGAAAACCGAUGAAGUAGGCGGACAAGCACCAAGUACCGACGGAAGGCACAUGCGCGAGACGGGAUCAGUGUAGGGAACACCAAUCAACGGGGAGUGAGGAGAGACUAUGCCCGAUAACAACAUAAUGUCUUUCUCUUUUUUCUCUGUUUUUUACUCACGAGCUAAGGAACCGAUCGGUCAACUCCCGAUGGGAUCGACUGGGCGAGGAAGCAGACACGCUGGGGGGCUCGGGGUGACCAACGCCACACAAGGGGCCACGGCAGGAAACGCCACACAAGGGGCCACGAUGGGGCGGCGGCAGCCAGAUGAGGGCCACGGCCAGGAGGAGUCGCAGCGGGAGGACGAGGGAGCCACCGGAUCGAUGGCGGGGGCGGACGGGCGGCAGCGGCGACAUGUGGACGGGGCCGGCCUGGGAGUGCCGGCCAGCGGAGAGCAGAGGGACCUGUGAGAGCCGGCCUCCAGCGGUAGCGGCCCGACCAGGGAGAGCCGAAGGCCGGCGCGCAGCGGCGUGACCUCGAUCGGCUGUCAGAGACGAGGCAGCGGCGGCGGCCAAAAUAGGCGGCCUGACCUCGAUCGGCUGUCAGAGACGAGGCAGCGGCGGCGGCCAAAACAGGUAAGUGCCGGGCGUCCCGAUCUGGGAUGCUUGGAACCAGCGGCCGGAACCGACGAGGAACGGCGCCUGGGCGCGGAAUCAGCGACAGCGACCUCCUUUGUCUGAUCGAGAUUGAUCUCGCACAGACGGGGACCAGGGAACGAUGGCCAGGCAAAAUAGAGCAGCGGCAGCAGAGGAAACUGCACGCUCGAGAGGCAACAACCAAGCAGAGGCAGGAGAUGAUUUGGAGCAGCGUGGCCGGGAAAGGAUGAUCACGGCGGUCUGAUUGGAUCGAGCACGAGUUGCAGCGUGCGAAAAAAAGAACCAGAGCUCUCUUACCAUUUUAGGAAAAUAUGCAACUUAGUAUUAUCAGAAGGCAAAAGUCAUCAUAUAUACAUGUACACGGAAUGCCAAAGGCCAGAAUGCAAAAGGCCAAAUGCCACAAUAAAUAUAACUCUAACACCAAUGAGUAGCAACACCUCGAAAUUUUUGACACCUCCGUUUGACAUCUUGAGUCUUCUAUCAAAGAUUAGUGGGUAAAACUUUCGGGGAAGAAUGUCCCCAACCGGAAGGCGAUGGUAUCGCUCAGAAUGCCCAUUAGUUGGACCACUCAGAAUGAAAGAGAAGCACGAGUUUCCAGACACAAGAGCAAGAUGUAACUUAUUUUGUUUAAUGCCAUCAAGGACGAGAUUAAGCUCGGGGCCACAGCGGGCACAAAAAAGUUGGGUUCCAUUAUCCGGGGAGAGUAGUUCCUCCAUGUAUUUGUCUAGCCUUAGGUUAUUAAAAAAAAUUCUCUUAAUCUUAAUUAAUAGAUGUGGCAAGCUUUUGCUGCCAUUUCAGGAAAUAAAAUAAAAAUAGCAAGACCAUGGUCAGAACCAACCCAUGGGUAAAAUAAAAUAACAAAUUGAAAUUUUAGUUUCGUCAAUUAUAUGUAUCUAUACGCUUUGCAGGUGUUUGAUGUGUAUCACAAACUGAAAUGAAAUAAGUGUUGGAACUGAUCUCUUGGCUAACCUCCUGACAACCUGAGAGAGAAAAAGGGUGUGGGCUACUUAGUCCCGAUUCCUGUGACCUGGGUUCAUCUGGACCUGAUAGGUGUUCACAGGUGACUGGUCGAAUGCAUUUGUUGGUAUUGUGUAGUAUUGAGGGUGUUGGCGUCUUUGCACGUAAAUGCACCAACAGAUAACAAAAAUAGCAAUGUCUUUGUAUAGACCCCAAUGGGCAACAGGAAAGGAAUGAAAGAGUUGGGUUGACACUGUCAAUAUCCACUUGCUCUGGUUAUCUGUAGUUUAGAGGCACCAACGACACUUGUAGAUGAAUACAUGCUGUUAAUUAACUAACAGUUGAGUUUUGUCAACUAUGUAUUUAGACGCUUUUGCAGGUGUUUGAUGUAUCACGAACUGAAAUGAGACAAGAGUGUUGGAGAUAGAGACACAAUACCACUUUACUGGAUAGUGGUGAAACCAAAACUAUUUCUCGAGUGAAUUGGCAGUCAAUGACUUGCAACUGGACAGCGGCAUCUGCAUGACGACAUACCAGUUAGACUUAGAUACAUCUGUUUGUACUUCUACGCACGACAUUGAUAUGGGGGACAAUCCAGGUUUGAAUACUCCUGCUAUGCUCACUGAACACAUGCGUUGAUCCGUAUGUAGUCGCUACUCACUUCAACGGUGGCCAAGGAACGUAUGGUUACUGGAUCUAUCCGAUGGGAGAUGGUAGCACAGGCUAUUUCCAACCGGUUUGGAUGGCGGUUAUGUAAUAGGAUAGGCAAUUAGUUUUCCUAUCUUUCUUAUACUAGCCGGUUGUGGCUUUACUUCUAUUUUUCUGCUCUUUGUGAGCAUUUUUUGUUCUUUUGUGUUAGACAUCAAGACUUGUAUUGAACUUAUUUGCUUUUUAAUAAGUAUGGCUGUAUGCAUCGUUCUGAUGCAGGACCGGGGUGUUCUCCCUUUUCGAAAAAAAAAUGCUAACUGAACACCUGCAGUUAGAUGCACUCUGAACUAAAUAUGGAGGAAAAGUAACUAGUUAGGAUCAGCGCAAGUUUCAUGUAAAUGGAAAUCUAGCGGAACAGCAUCCAAUAUAUACAAAUUUGGGGUUGAUAUCUCUCUGGUUUUUGACAGUUUAAUUUACUCUGUUUCGUGGAAAGUUAAAAUAAAUAAAUAAUAUAAAUUCAACUGGUGACAUUUACUUUUACAAGUUCUUGAAAAGUAGAUGUUGAUAACGUACAUAGUUCUGUGCAACAACAGAGGAUCUAGUAGCUUGUUCUGAUGUUAAAGCUUGAAUUUCACGGGGGUACACAAAAAUGGAAGGCCCUUAUCCAUGUGCAGAGUAAACAUUGUUUUGUAUAUUGGACCCUUGGAUUCAUCUUCCAGUCUAAACCUGAAGAACUGUAUCAGUGUAGCGGCCACAAUUUUCAUCUGUCUGUAUGCAAAUUCUUUCCCCAAGAAGAUACGAGGUCCUGCCUGACCAUUGGAAGAAGACUCGUUACAUGAAAAUGGUUAUUUAUACUCUAAAAAAUGAAUUUAUAACUUGAGAACUGAUUUUAAACCAUGCAACUUUCUUAUAUUAGGGUGUUCCCUACUUUAGUUGAAAUGCAAUAUUAUAUGCUUCAUUUCCUGCUUUAGCAACAGAAGGUCAGAUUUAAAUACCACUAAUGUUACUAUUUUCUAGGUUCUUUGCCAACUAUUGGUGAUGAUCUAGGUUGUGCCUAGUGGCGGAGCGUGGCGAAAGUACAAGAGGGGGCCAACUCCAUAUAACUCUUGUAUUCUCCAUAGUGCCAUGGUUGAUGAAUAGACUGGAAAUUUAUCUCGCAAAAAAAACCCGAGAAAUAUGGAUGAAAGCCAUUAAGUCAAUCAUAGAACAUAUGCGAGAGAUAAUUAUGUGGCCUCAUCAUAAUAUAUGUAUCUUGUUCACACAAGUACACCAUAUACUAACAUUUUCACACUUUUGGUGGUUAAAAAAAAGACCACACCUUCAUGUCCAAAAUACAACUAAACAUGAGUAUCAAAUUCUGUAGCAUUUAAUGGAGUGGACAUCCAAAUGAAUAAAUUACCAUCAUGCCUAAAUUCUCAAUUAUCAUCUGAGUAAUUGAAAAAUACGACAUACACGUUGUGCAAUCAACCAGCCGAUAACCAAGCAAGCAAGGCAACUAGGCAAGCACGAAGCACUAAACUAAACCAGCAGGCAUGGGCGUUUGAUUCAACUGACGAGGAGCCGCAAGCCCGCAAGAGGAUUAAGUUCCGGCUCAUCCAAGUCAACGACCUUUUUACAUCACAUAGCCAGCCGCCGCCUUCCCAAAACUAGGGUUCUUUGCCUCCCACCGGCGUUGGCGCCGGUCCGUCCCGUCUCCGGUGGCCUUAGCCCUUGCCGCUGGGAGGGCUCCGUUUUCAUAUCUUUUUUCAAGCUUUAUUAGGGUUUGUGUCCUGCUUAGGAAGGCGAGACGGCGGCGGUGAUGCGUGUAGCAUCAUCGGUGGGCGUGUGGAGGUGUGUCUCCAGCGGAUUUAUCUUUGGUGGAUUUGCUCGGAUCUGUUCGUGUGUCUUCAGGGUGGAUCGUUUUGAUCUACACUCUUCAUCCGCGGCGUUUGCUGCUUUGGUGCGUUGGUUCUAUGGGACCUUAGCACGACGACUUCCCGACUGUCUACUACAACAAGGUUUGCCCGGCUCCGGUGUGGGAAAGGCGAUGACAGCGGCGCGCCUUCGGCUCGCUUCAGUGUUUGUAUUCAUCGCUAGGUGGUUUACAAAUCUGAAUGUAAUUUUUAUUUUUUCUAGUGUCCGUUGUACUAUCAUGAUUGAAGAUGAAUAGAUUGAAAGUUUUUCUGCAAAAAAAAAAGUUUUGGCUCAUUCGCCAUCCGACAAUGGUGCACAGCUUGCUGGCGUCGGUGGCGUUUAGCUCCAACACUCAAACCAAGACGAAGGGGAUUGAUUGAUUGAAGAGGAUCGGUGGAAGUCGGGCAGAUGGAGGAGUUCAGGUCGUAGACCGUAGACGGCAGGUCGUCGUGGCCGAGCCAUGAAGUUGCGAAGGCUUGGGGAAAUUGGCUACGGAGGCUGGCUGGAGCUGGAUGCGUGACAUGCCAACAACCAAAACAGGGGAGAACGCUGCUCGAUCGUGCUCCAAGCCUGCUGGAGGGCUUUAUCAUCUGGGCUAAAAUACUGCAUAUACCUAGUAAUUUUGCUUUUGCCAUUUCGCAAGGGGGGGCCAGGGCCCAGUUUCGCCUCCACUACGCUCCGCGAGUGGUAGACGGCAUGUCAUCGUGGCCGAGCCCUGAAGUAGCGGAGGCUUGGGGAAAUUGGCUACGNNNNNNNNNNNNNNNNNNNNNNNNNNNNNNNNNNNNNNNNNNNNNNNNNNNNNNNNNNNNNNNNNNNNNNNNNNNNNNNNNNNNNNNNNNNNNNNNNNNNNNNNNNNNNNNNNNNNNNNNNNNNNNNNNNNNNNNNNNNNNNNNNNNNNNNNNNNNNNNNNNNNNNNNNNNNNNNNNNNNNNNNNNNNNNNNNNNNNNNNNNNNNNNNNNNNNNNNNNNNNNNNNNNNNNNNNNNNNNNNNNNCAUGCGAACAACCAAAACAGGGGAGAACGCUGCUCGAUCGUGUUCCAAGCCUGCUGGAGGGCUUUAUCAUCUGGGCUAAAAUACUGCAUAUACCUAGUAAUUUUGCUUUUGCCAUUUUGCAAGGGGGGGCCAGGGCCCAGUUUCGCCUCCACUACGCUCCGCGAGUGGUAGACGGCAGGUCAUCGUGGCCGAGCCCUGAAGUAGCGGAGGCUUGGGAAAUUGGCUACGGAGGCUGGCUGGAGCUGGAUGUGUGACAUGCGAACAGCCAAAACAGGGGAGAACGCUGCUCGAUCGUGCUCCAAGCCUGCUGGUGGGCUUUAUCAUCUGGGCUAAAAUACUGCAUAUACCUAGUAAUUUUUCUUUUGCCAUUUCCAAGGGGGGGCCAGGGCCCAGUUUCCCGUUGCAAGAUAAAUAGAUCAAGUUGGUCAAAUAAAACCCAAAUAUCGGAGAAGAAAUACGAGGCUAUAAGAGAUCAAAGAAACUCAAAUAACUUUCAUGUAUACAAAAAGAUAUAAUUGAUCAUAAACUCGAAGUUCAUCAGAUCCCAACAAACACACCACAAAAAGAGAUACAUCAUAUGGAUCUCCAAGAGACCAUUGUAUUGAGACUUCAGCAAGAGAGAGGAAGCCAUCUAGGUACUAACUACGGACCCGAAGGUCUACAAAGAACUACCCACUCAUCAUCGAAGAGGCACCAAUGGAAGUGGUGAACCCCUCCGUGAUGGUGUCUAGAUUGGAUCUGGUGGUUCUGGAUUCUGCGGAGGCUGGAUGAAUAUUUCGUCGACGCUUCUACGGUUCUGGUAUUUUUGGGGUAUUUAUAAAGCAAAGAGGCGGUCCGGGGGGCACGCGAGGUGGGCAUAACCCACCAGGGCGUGGCUGGGCCUCCUGGCGCGCCCUGGUGGGUUGUAGCCUCCUUGGGACUCCCCCUAGGUGCAACCAAGGCCCAUCUUCUUCCUUCUGGCCCAUAAAAAAUCUUCGUAAAGUUUGCGGCAUUUGUACUCUGUUUGAUAUUGAUUUCCUGCGAUGUAUAAAAAAUGCAGAAAACAACAACUGGCACUUUGCACUAUGUCAAUAGGUUAGUACUAAAAAUGACUAUAAAACAUUCAAGAUUGAUAAUAAAACAACAUGGAACAAUAAAAAAUUAUAGAUACGUUGGAGACGUAUCAGAGAAGUACAAGAUGGUCGGGUUCGACCUCGAGUACACCCGCGCUCGUGCCGGGUCUCGUCCCAAGGUCGCCGUCGCCCAGAUGUGCGUGCACCACCACGUCCUCAUCUACCACUACUGCCUGGCCACAAGUCCUUGCGAGCGUUUCGUCAGGUUUGUCAACAGCCCCCACUACAUGUUCGCUAUGGUGUACAUCACCAACGAUGUAAAGGCGCUCGAGAAUUCGGGCAUCGCCUGCUAAAAUCUUGUCGACAUCCAGGGCCAAUACAAGAUCUGGGGCAGCAAGGAGCAUGAGAAGGGCUCACUGGUUCACCGCCAAGGCCAUCAUCUACCCCUACUACAGAGACAUGAAGGAUUCGUGCAACAAGGACAAGCGUGCCUGGCACUCGGCCUGGAUGGAGAAACUCGACAAAGCUCACGUUGUGUACACGGCCAAGGAGGCGUACACGAGCUACGCCAUGUACAUGCGGAUCGUUGACAUGAGGAAGUGUCUCCUUCCCCAAAACGGCCAAGGAUCCAGCCGAAGGCAGAGCAAUGGCAAGCGUCGUCGCAAUAAUAAGUAGAUGAUUAGAUCCUCGUUUCUCCUACUUUAGUAUGCAUGUAAUUGCUUACAUUAGUGUGUGGAAAUGUUAUGUGUGUAGUAACUUGUGUAAUUGUAUGCUUAAUUUGGUUAUGCAAUGCUGUCUUUUUUUGUAUAUAUGUUGAUGCUCUGUAGACAGAGCGUAGAUGUUGUGCGGACAAAGAAAAUCACAUCACACACGGACUAAACAAUGGAACUCGUCGGUGAUGUUUUCAUCAAUCACUCACAAUUGUAUACAACAAUUGUUUGCUCACAACACACACGUCUUGUUAGCAGUAAUCGUUUGUGUUGUUAUCGGUUUUUGCACACGUUUCUGAUUACAGACACUAGUCAUCAUCCCGUGCAUCUUCACGGUCUAGAUAUUAUAGGGGUGCAUAAUUACAAACACAAUUGUAGCAACUUUUAAAAUGAAAGAGUAUAAAUUAUGAAUAUCACAAUGAUGGAUAACUUAUUUUUUUACUCAACAAUUGUAACACAAAAUAUACCAUCUGUUUAUAGGCUUCAUGAUUGGACAGUAUAUCCACUUUCCCUUUAUGUUGCGCAAAAUACCAUUAUUGGUCUGAAUGGAUCCUUCCUCACAUCGUAGCAACUAUAGCACUUUGUGAAUUUUAUACUUGACGUGUGGAGGAAGUAUGUAUUCAUUCGAUCCAUAUAGCCAGAUACACGUCUUCCUAAUGUAGAAAAUAAUAUUUACGUCUUCCUAAUGUAGAAAAUAAUAUUUACGAAUUUGAUCGACAUUGUAGCUUAUAUAACACAACUCAACAAAAGUUUGGACAAAAAUACAUACACACAUUAACUGCUCAACAUAACUUGAAAAGCCUGAGAGGCAUUUGCGGUAUGGGUGAUGUACAUAAAAUAAAUAAGUAAAUAUUUCAUAAACAAAAUUAUUAGAAGAAGAACCAAAUGUUCUUGAAAUAUUGUUGGGAGCCGUUAGGGAGAUUUUGUAUGUUUGUAUAUUAUUUACAUUAUCAUGACUGGUCUUUCUGUACGGUGAAAUUGAAAUUUCUUUUCCAGAUAUGUAUAGGCUUUUUUAUUAACGUGGAGCUUUAUGAUUCUUUAUUUGUACGUGUCUGUGCGUGCUUUUUCUUUUGAGGCACCUGCCAUAUGGACCUUUUUUAAUGGGGCUCGAGCACUUCUUUUUAUGUGCGCUUUCUUCCUGUCUUGAGAGAAGGCACGGCCAACUCUAAAGAAAAGGGACGGUGAUUUAUUUGUGUGUGGGCUUUUUGGAUGGGCGUUUUUUUAGACGUGUACUUGGGUAUUGAGGACUUCUCCUCUUGUAUGUCUGGGGAGAAUUUUUUUGCGGGGGCGCUUUUGCGGUGGAUUUUUUCAGAUGUGUGUCGUGAGGACUGAGGAUUUUUUUUCUUGUAUGUGUAGGUUUAAUCCCCCUCCUGUACGCUGUGUUUCUUUUUCUAAAGAUAAAGAAAAGGAAGUAACAUCCAUUAACAGAUCUUUACCAUUGAAUUUAUAAUUUAAUGGCUAAAUUAAUCCUGUUGAUGUGGAUUAACGUCAAGGCUUUUAUGGCUUAAUUUUUAUUUCACGGGCAAUCAAUCGGUUCGCGGAAAUCUUUUCCUUCUAUAUCCUUGGACUUUUGUUGGACAUUUUAUCAUUGGAGUUUUUAACGGAGGAUUGCCGUUUUAUUUUUUAUUUACGAAGGGCUGGAGGCGCUCCUUGUUUUGUUUCAUUAUUAAUAUUUUACGUGUCAGAUCCAUUUUUAUGGGAAAGAAAUAAGAGAGCAGGAGGCUUUCCUUCUUAUUUAUUAGGAACGGGUGGAGUGUUUCGUUGUUUUUCUUCAUUAUUAAUGUUAGACGUGCCAGAUCCGUUUUUUACGGAACAGGAAAGACAGUGCACUUUGUGUUUUUUAAGUGGGCUUUCCUUUUUAUUUUCGGGAACCGGUGAAGGCUUUCCUGAUUUUUUUUCAUUAAUGUAGACGUGUCAAAUCUAUAUUUGUGGGACGGGAUCAUCUACUUGCGUUACGCAAGAUUUCUUUUAAUCCUAGACGUAAAUUUUACUAUCUAACGGCUUAAUUAAUUUGGAUGAUGUGGAUUAAUGAAAACACAUGAAUGGUGCCUCCAAUUAGUAAAUAUAAGAUAAGAUAUAAGAUAUAAGAUGUUUGCCGCAUAUCACACACAUCUUGUUAAGUUAAACCGUUUUCUGUUUUCAUGUCUCAACGUAAACAGUUCAUCCGAGUGAACCACAUUCCGUAUAUCGGACACACCUUGAUCUGGCUGACCAUUUCUUUUGUGUUGCCUAAUCACAAACAGUUCAUUCGAAUCACAAACAAUUCAUCUGAGUGAACCGUAUGCUGUAUAUCGCACACACCUUCAUCUGGCUGCCUGCUACCUCUUGAGCUUGCAUUGGAUUUCCCCGAAGAGGAGAGGAUGAUGCAGUAGAGUAGCGUAAGUAUUUCCCUCGGUUUUUGAGAACCAAGGUAUCAAUCCAGUAGGAGGCCAUGCGCAAGUCCCUCGUACCUACACAAAAGCAAUAGCUCCUCGCAACCAAUGCAAUUAGGGGUUGUCAAUCCCUUCACGGUCACUUACGAGAGUGAGAUCUGAUAGAGCUGAUAGAUAAUAUUUUUGGUAUUUUUGAUAUAGAGAUGCAAAGUAAAAAGUAAAAGACAAAGUAAAAAAGCAAAGCAAGAUUAAAGUGAUGGAGACUAAUAUGAUGAGAAUAGACCCGGGGGCCAUAGGUUUCACUAGUGACUUCUCUCAAGAGCAUAAGUAUUCUACGGUGGGUGAACAAAUUACUGUUGAGCAAUUGAUAGAAUUGAGCAUAAUUAUGAGAAUAUCUAGGCAUGAUCAUGUAUAUAGGCAUCACGUCCGAGACAAGUAGACCGACUCCUGCCCGCAUCUACUACUAUUACUCCACUCAUCGACCGCUAUCCAGCGUGCAUCUAGAGUAUUAAGUUAAAAACAGAGUAACGCCUUAAGCAAGAUGACAUGAUGUAGAGGGAUAAAUUCAUGCAAUAUGAAAUAAACCCCAUCUUGUUAUCCUCGAUGGCAACGAUGCAAUACGUGCCUUGCUGCCCCUUCUGUCACUGGGAAAGGACACCGCAAGAUUGAACCCAAAGCUAAACACUUCUCCCAUGGCAAGAAAAACCAAUCUAGUAGGCCAAACCAAACUGAUAAUUCGAAGAGACUUGCAAAGAUAACCAAUCAUACAUAAAAGAAUUCAGAGAAGAUUCAAAUAUUAUUCAUAGAUAGACUUGAUCAUAAAUCCAUAAUUCAUCGGUCUCAACAAACACACCGCAAAAAGAAGAUUACAUCGAAUAGAUCUCCACAAGAGAGAGGGAGAACAUUGUAUUGAGAUCCAAAAAGAGAGAAGAAGCCAUCUAGCUACUAACUAUGGACCCGAAGGUCUGAGGUAAACUACUCACACUUCAUCGGAGAGGCUAUGAUGAUGUAGAAGCCCUCCGUGCUGACAGCCCUCUCCGGCGGAGCUCCGGAACAGGCCCCAAGAUGGGAUCUCGUGGAUACAGAAAGUUGCGGAGGUGGAAUUAGGUUUUUGGCUCCGUAUUUGAUCGUUUGGGGGUACGUAGGUAUAUAUAGGAGGAACGAGUACGUCGGUGGAGCUCCGAGGGGCCCACGAGGCAGGGGGCGCCCCCACCCUCGUGACCACCUCUUGGUUCCCUUGGAGUAGGGUCCAAGUCUCCUGGAUCACGUUCGGUGAGAAAAUCACGUUCCCGAAGGUUUCAUUCCGUUUGGACUCCGUUUGAUAUCCUGUUUCUUCGAAACACUAAAAUAGGCAAAAAACAGCAAUUCUGGGCUGGGCCUCCGGUUAAUAGGUUAGUCCCAAAAAUAAUAUAGAAGUGGAAAAUAAAGCCCAAUAUAGUCCAAAACAGUAGAUAAUAUAGCAUGGAGCAAUCAAAAAUUAUAGAUACGUUGGAGAUGUAUCAGGCAUCCCCAAGCUUAAUUACUGCUCGUCCUCGAGUAGGUAAAUGAUAAAAAUAGAAUUUUUGAUGCAGAGUGCUAUUUGGAAUAAUUUAAAUGCAAAUCUUCUUAAUUGUGGUAUGAAUAUUCAGAUUUGAAAGAUUCAAGACAAAAGUUCAUAUUGACAUAAAAAUAAUAAUACUUCAAGCGUACUAACAAAGCAAUUAUGUCUUCUCAAAAUAACAUGGCCAAAGAAAGCUAUCCCUACAAAAUCAUAUAGUUUGGCUAUGCUCUAUCUUCACCACACAAAGUAUUUAAAUCAUGUACAACCCCGAUAACAAGCCAAGCAAUUGUUUCAUACUUUAACAUUUUCAAAACUUUUUCGAUCCUCAUGCAAUACAUGAGCGUGAGCCAUGGAUAUAGCACUAUAUGUGGAAUAGAAUGGUGGUUGUGGAGAAGCCAAAAGGAGGGGAAGAUAGUCUCACAUCAACUAGGCGUAUCGACGGGCUAUGGAGAUGCCCAUCAAUAGAUAUCAAUGUGGGUGAGUAGGGAUUGCCAUGCAACGGAUGCACUGGAGCUAUAAGUAUAUGAAAGCGCAACAAAAGAAACUAAGUGGGUGUGCAUCCAACUUGCUUGCUCACAAAGACCUAGGGCAAUUUCAGGAAGCCCAUCAUUGGAAUAUACAAGCCAUGUUCUAUAAUGAAAAAUUUCCACUAGUAUAUGAAAGUGACACAAUGAGAGACUCUCUAUCAUGAAGAUCAUGGUGCUACUUUGAAGCACAAGUGUGGUAAAAGGAUAGUAACAUUGCCCCUUCUCUCUUUUUCUCUCAUCAUUUUUUUAUUUGGGCCUUUUUUCUUUUUUUAUGGCCUCUUUUUUUUUCGUUCGGAGUCUCAUCCCGACUUAUGGGGGAAUCAUAGUCUCCAUCAUCCUUUCCUCACUUGGGACAAUGCUCUAAAAAUUGAUAAUCAUCACACUUUUAUUUUUCUUACAACUCAACAAUUACAACUCGAUACUUAGAACAAAUAUGACUCUAUAUGAAUGCCUCCGGCGGUGUACCAGGAUAUGCAAUAAAUCAAGAGUGACAUGUAUGAAAGAAUUAUGAACGGUGGCUUUGCCACAAAUACGAUGUCAACUACAUGAUCAUGCUAGCAAUAUGACAAUGAUGGAACACGUCAUAAUAAACGGAAUGGUGGAAAGUUGCAUGGCAAUAUAUCUCGGAAUGGCUAUGGAAAUGCCAUGAUAGGUAGGUAUGGUGGCUGUUUCGAGGAAGGUAUAUGGUGGGUGUAUGAUACCGGCGAAAAGUGCACGGUAUUAGAGAGGCUAGCAAUGGUGGAAGGAUGGGAAAAGUGCGUAUAAUCCAUGGACUCAACAUUAGUCAUAAAGAACUCAUAUACUUAUUGCAAAAAUCUAGAAGUUAUCAAAGCAAAGUAUUACGCGCAUGCUCCUAGGGGGAUAGAUUGGUAUGAAAAGACCAUCGCUCGUCCCCGACCGCCACUCAUAAGGAAGACAAUCAAUAAAUAAAUCAUGCUCCGACUUCAUCACAUAACGGUUCACCAUACGUGCAUGCUACGGGAAUCACAAACUUUAACACAAGAAUUUCUCAAAUUCACAACUAUUCAACUAGCAUGACUCUAAUAUCACCAUCUUCAUAUCUCAAAACAAUUACCAAGCAUCGAUCUUUUCUUAGUAUUCAACGCACUCAAAAGAAAGUUUCACAAAUCUUGAACACCAAGCAUAUUAUUGUUAAGCAAAUUACCAUGCUAUUAAGACUCUCAAAAUAACCUAAGUGAAGCAUGAGAGGUCAAUAGUUUCUUUAAAACAAAUCCACCACCGUGCUCUAAAAGAUCUAAGUGAAGCACAUAGAGCAAAAUUAUAACGCUCAAAAGAUAUAAGUGAAGCACAUACAGUAUUCUAUCAAAUUCCAAUUCAUGUAUGGCUCUCUCAAAACGUGUGUACAGAAAGGAUGAUUAUGGCACACUAACAAACAAAGACACAAAUAAUACAAGACGCUCCAAGCAAAACACAUAUCAUGUGGUGUAUAAAAAUAUAGCUCCAAGUAAAAUUACCGAUGGAAGUAGACGAAAGAGGGGAUGCCUUCCGGGGCAUCCCCAAGCUUUGACUUUUGGUGUUCUUGGAUUAUCUUGGGGGUGCCAUGGGCACCCCCAAGCUUAGGCUCUUGCCACUCCUUGUUCCAUAAUCCAUCAAAAGAAUUCACCCAAAACUUGAAAACUUCACAACACAAAACUCAAUAGAAAUCUCAUGAGCUCCGUUAGAGAAAGAAAACAAAAGACCACUUCAAGGUACUGUAAUGAAAUCAUUCUUUAUUUAUAUUGGUGUUAAACCUAAUGUAUUCCAACUUCUCUAUGGAUUAUAAACUAUUUUACUAGCCAUCGAUUCAUCAAAAUAAGCAAACAACACACGAAAAACAGAAUCUGUCAAAAGCAGAAUAGUCUGUAGUAAUCUGUAACUAACGCAAACUUCUGGAACUCCAAAACAUCUACCAAAAUUGGACGACCUGGACAAUUUGUUUGUUGAUCAUCAACAAUUGGAAUCAGUAUUUUAUCACGUUAUGGUGAUUUUUAAUAAUUCGUGCAUUGAGCGCAAAGUUUCUGGAAAUUACAGCAAGAUCAAAUAACUAUCAUCCAAGAAGAUCCAAUAGGUCUAACUUGGCACAAAAACUAAUUAAAACACAAAACCACAUCUAAACAUAAGGUAGAUGGAUUAUUUAUUCCUGAACAGAAACAAAAACAAAAAACAAAAAAUAAAAUUGGGUUGCCUCCCAACAAGCGCUAUCGUUUAACGCCCCUAGCUAGGCAUAAAAGCGAGGAUAGAUCUAGGUAUUGCCAUCUUUGGUAGGCAAUCCAUAAGUGGAUCUCAUGAUAGUUUCAUAUGGCAAUUUUAUUUCUUUCUAGGAAAGUGUUCCAUGCCCUUUUUUAAUGGAAAUUUAAAUCUAAUAUUCCCUUCCUUCAUAUCAAUAAUCGCACCAACCGUUCUAAGGAAAGGUCUACCAAGAAUAAUAGGGCAAGAAGGAUUGCAAUCUAUAUCAAGAACGAUAAAAUCUACGGGCACAUAAUUCCUAUUUGCAACAAUAAUAACAUCAUUAAUUCUUCCCAUAGGUUUCUUAAUAGUGGAAUCCGCAAGAUGCAAGUUUAGAGAGCAAUCUUCAAAAUCACGGAAAUCUAGCAAAUCACACAAAGUUUUGGGGAUAGUGGAGACACUAGCACGCAAAUCACACAAGGCAUAAAACUCAUGAUCUUUAAUUUUAAUUGUAAUAGUUGGUUCCCACUCAUCAUAGGGAUAGAAACUUUCAACUCAAGUUUUUCUUCAUAAGAUUGCAUCAAGGCAUCAACAAUAUGUUCGGUAAAGGCUUUCUUUUGACUAUAAGCAUGAGGAGAAUUUAGCACGGAUUGCAACAAGGAAAUACAAUCAAUUAAAGAGCAACUUUCAUAAUUAAAUUCCUUGAAAUCUAAUAUAGUGGGUUUAGCAACAUCUAGGGUUUUCACUACAAGAAAUAUGUCAACUUGUGACCACCACUAUUGGUCACUGAAUGGUCACAAAUUUCCAUUUGUGACCUUUUUCUGACCAAAAACAUAAGGUCAAAAGCUGGCCGUCAUAAACUGACAUUAGCGACCUUUCUUCUGGAAUGGUCGUAAAUGUUUACGACCAAAAUACGUCUACUGUGGCGUUUUGGUCACUAGCAACCUCCCCAGGCCACGUAGGCAUCCAGCGUGGCAAUCUGAUGUGGCACAAGAUUCAGCCCGGUCUGAUUAGGUGUUUUACAUGGGCCGAGCCCAAUAAUUCAACCUAUUUGUGUUUUUUUCUAUGAAUUUUUGGUCAGAUUCAUGGGCCAAGCCCUACAAUUCAGCCUUUUUAUUUUCUGGGCUUAGGCCAUUUUGCAUUCCGUUUCAUUCAACCUUUUGUUUUUGUUUUUCAUAAACGCACAAUAGUCCAGUCCACUAUUGUUUGGGCCAUAGCCUUUUUAGAGCCCAAAUAUUGUUUGAUCCAAUAGAACAUUCAGUCUUUUUCAAUCACAGAUUUCAAUGUUACACAUUUCAAUAGCAAACAAUCAAUAAUUCUCAAAAUUAAAUGAUCAAAUCCAGAAAUCACUCAAUGAAACUCACAACAGCACAUACACAUCUGCACGAUCCAUCAAGUGUACAUAUAAUCGAAAACAAGUACACAAGCACCAAAACAUGGUGGCAACAUCAACUAAAACUACUGUGCACAUCCCCAAGCGUUGCUGAUCUAGUACCAGCCCCAGCCCAAGGUGCACCAGCCCCAGCCCCAGCCCCAGGCAGUCGCAUAUUUUUGCUUGUCUGGUCAUGGUCCUUCUCCUGCGCAUCCAAUUCAGAAGCAAACUCAUAGUAAGUUUCACAUAGAAGUAGCAAUUUGAAUGAGAAGCAGCAACAACAAUUUGAUUUGAAGGAGGAGCAGCAACAACGGCAAGUACUUUCUGCUCAUUAGGAUAGCAACAAGAGCAGUUUGACAUAGUAGGAGCAACAUCAGUUUGAUGAUAGCAUCAGUACCUGAUAUCAGCAAAAGUAGUUUGAAAUAUCCUUGGGCGGCCGAAGAUGGUGAAAUGAUGAUCUGAUUGUUCUUAGACAGUGGUAUUAAAAGAUAGGCUUUUAGAGUAAAAAAAUUGGCUCCAAUCAGCCUGCAUACAACAAGUAAUAAAAUUAUUAGGAGAGAGUAUACAGUUACCAACAGCAUGCAUAAAACAACUUUGAUGAUGUAAUUUUUACUAAAAAUGACAACCAGGUUUCAAGUAUAUCCCCAUCAUUAACAUCAGACAAUUCUAAAUGUAAACGAGAUGGCAUUUGUAUAGACCUAGAAUCUCAUAUGUUGCCAGAGCUAGAAAAAAUGAGAUAUUCACUAGCAAAUGAAAAUAGGGACCUGCUGGAAACAUCACACUACGAAUGAGAUAUGGUGCAUAUUU
rnacentral:lncRNA from 1 species